GAAUAAUUACUAUGUUUAUUCGCAUAAGGAAAUCAAGACUUGGAGAAGUGAAAUAGCUCAUACAAUUUCACACAACAAUCAGUGUGAUUCACCUCUAAGUCAGUGCUCUUAACCAUGCUCCUAAGUUCCCUUCCCCAGUCUAAGAAAUCAAGAAGUUCUUUUGGAAGCAUCAGUCACUUUGUGCUUCUCUGAAACAUUAGGUCUACAAUGGUGGGAAGUAGGGGAGCUUUCCCAGCAAAGUCCCUUGGAAGAGAGAAAGAGCGUCAGCCACCCUAUGCAGAGGUGGGAAGAAGCACUGCUUGCUGCCAGCCACAGCCUGUCUCCCUCACCUUCAGAAACACCGUUGAGCCUCAGGAAGGAGGAUCUAUCAGUGGCCACAAAUUUGAUGAUCUACCUGAUGUUCAAAGAAAAUUUCUACUUGCAAAAAGCUGUGGGAAAUUUCCAACCAAAAGGAGGCUGCAGCGAUAAAUCUGCGACAGGUUUUUUGUUUAUUCAGAUAAGUACAAUUUACAUGCUUAGAUGCUUAUUUUUAUUGCAAAAGCCUUUGGAGAAGAUAUUUGAUCCACUAUUUAAGGUCUCUAAUAUCACAAAAACCUUUUAAAUUGACCUGUAUCUAAACCUGUCUGUCAUCUCAACUUAGCCUGUUCUAUUAACAUCACAUUUUCUAAAUCCAUUCCCUGGAGUUUAGAAAUGGAAUAGUGUUCAAGCAAUAUGAUGAAAUGGGAAAACAAAGAGCCUUCUGGACUGGAUUUCCCAAGUUUUUUUUUUUUUUUUCUCAAUGUGGUAUCUUUUUCACAUUUGUAGAUCCAGUAACACAAUGACGUGAUCGUAGUUCAUUGGUCAUAAAGACUAACUUGUGUUAACCAAAUUUAAGUAAACUGAUUUUUAUUUCUUCAGUUCACAGUAGGGGAUUUUCAUUUCCUGCCAUUAAGAUAUUCUUCUUCUACCCAAGUAAAUUCCUACCCAGUUAUAGUGUCUGAGGUUGUUGAAUUGGCUACUAGGAUGUUCGUUGAUAGGCACAGAAUGAGAGUAAGAGAAAUAGAACGUUCUGAGGUAGGUUUUACUGACCCCUGGUUAGGCUCUUCAAAUCUUCCCUGCUUCACAACUGGUUCCACCUCUCUAGUGAGUAAGAAAUGUGUUUGUAAGAUUUCAUGUCUGUUUUCUUUAGCAAGUGCUGAAGAACUACUGCCAAACGCAUUCUCUGCUUUCCAUUUUUCUAUGACUCAUAAAGAUUAUUUCCACUUUUCUUAACACAUUUCUUCUUUAUGAAGAUUUCUGUCACCCAGACUUGGAAGUCACAUGUUGUCACUUCCACAGUGCUCAAUGAGUGGAGGCAGUUACAAAGGCCUACCUAUGUUCACUAGAAGGGGACAUAGCUACCACCACUCAAUCACAGGAGACUCAGGAUCACAUUGUAAGACCACAGAAUGAGAGAUGCUGAUGAUAGGCAUCUUUGCCAAUACAGUUUGCCACAAUCCAGGCUCUGGUCACAGCAGUUCACAUUGCUCUUAUAGGUAAAAUGCAUCCAUCCCUGCCCCAAGACUUCCAAAGUGUAAUUAAUUACAGCAUCUGCCCAAAGGCCAGUAUUUUGUUCUUUUUUUUUUUUUUGAGAUGGAGUUUCGCUCUUGUUAUCCAGGCUGGAGUGCAAUGGCGCGAUCUCGGCUCACCGCAACCUCUGCCUCCUGGGUUCAGGCAAUUCUCUUCCCUCAGCCUCCUGAGAAGCUGGGAUUACAGGCACGCGCCACCAUGCCCGGCUAAUUUUUUGUAUUUUUAGUAGAGACGGGGUUUCACCAUGUUGACCAGGAUGGUCUCGAUCUCUUGACCUUGUGAUCCACCCGCGUUGGCCUCCCAAAGUGCUGGGAUUACAGACGUGAGCCACCGCACCCGGCCGUAUUUCGUUCUUUAGGUCAGGUCUACAUUCCUCAGAUGCAGUUCCUCAAAUACAGUUUCUUCAGUACUUGAAAGAAUUCAGUUCCUUUCCAUCUAAACACUUUUGAACUAAAAGAGAAAAAUGAUCUGUUUCCUACCUUUCUCCUCACUGCCCCAACAUAAAAUUCUGAGACAGGAAUAAGAUAACUACUCAAAGCAGAGGAAUAUGAUAGAUAGUAUUCAUUGGUUCAUAGACGCUCCCAUAUGCAGUGGGACAUAUUUGAUCAGUCCUAUUCCAUGGGAGUUGUUCUUAAUAUUUCUUGUUUGUAUCUUCUGAGUUUCUCAUUUUCCAUAAGAACAGGUCUUUGCUUUCAUUUGAGGAGCCUUCUCAGCCUGCUUUCUGCCUGUAGAAUGUUGUGGGUAAAAGGUUUCUUUUCGUCUUGUACUGUUUCUGCUCUUUUCCAUGUAUGAUGCCAAUACUUGCACCAAAACAACUUUUAUUAAAUAUUGUGACUUUUCUAUGAAUUUUAUUAGAAUUCAUCCCAAUAAACAAAAGCCACAAGUAGAAGUAUCUUGAACUGGCCCUUAUCUAUCUUGGGGUCACUAAAGACAACUACAUGCCACAACACUUAUAUUCUUACAAGCUUCACAAUUUGGGCAGAAAAUCUGCAAGACAUUCUCUUAAGUACCUGAAAGUGCUUUUUGUUUGUCUGAAAGCAUUUAUGAGGCACUAUAUUAGAACUUUCUAAAGUCUUAACAAAAGAGCUUAUGGUCCCAUUCAGAGUUUGAUCUUUGGUGUGGUUCUUUCUUAAUUUGAGAAUCAUCUCCAACUUGGAAACACUGAGGAAUGAAUAAUAGUCUUAUUUUCAAGUCCAGCAAGUCCUUAUUCCUUGAUAUUUAACAGCUUUUUUUCCCUCAACUUAUUCCUUUCAUAUUUUAUCAAAGGCUUGGAAAGAAAGCCAGGUGACCAUUGUAAUAUUAUGCUGGAAAUCUCCUUAGCUAUGUCAUUAUGUUCAUGAAACACUUGAGGUAGAUUUUCUGGGUUUCUUUUUUUUUCCACAUUAUGGAGGGCAAUGGUGUUGAUUAACUCUCUGUCACUACAUAACAAGGGGCAUAUUCUUGUAUUUGUGUAUUUGCAAUAGUUUUCUUUUAAGCCUUCACUUAACAAGCCCUUGGGCUUGAGACCUUUUAAUUGUAUCUGUUAAAACUCUCCUCAAAUCAAUUUCAGACAUCACUAACGGUCUUCUCAAGUUCCCUCCAGUUUCUCGUUCACCACUGCACCCUCAAACCAACACUAGGUGCUUUAGGUAUUUGUCAUGACAGCAUCCAUUUACAGAUUUCAGGUUACAUAUUAGCUACUCAUUGUUACAUAACAAAUCACUCCAAAUCAUAAAAGCUUAAAACAAUAAUAAUCAUUUAUUUAGUUAACAAUUCUGUAAUUUGGGCAGAUAGGACUUUUUUUACUCCAAGCAGUGUCAAACGAGACAGCCAUUUCCAUGAGCGUUUUCUCACUGGAGGCUACCGCCUACAAGUUCAACAAGGGUUGUGGGUCAGGGACCUUAGUUGCUCUUCACAUAGGUCUUGCCAUGUGGUGCUGGAACUUCCUCCCAGCUGGGUUCCAAGACUGAGAAUUCCAAGAAAGCAAAGUGGAAGUGUGUGGCAUUUUUGUAAUCCUGACUCAGAAGAUGCAUAACAUCAUUUCAGCUGAAAUCUAUGGAUUGAGAAGUUUCAGGGUCAUGUUGUUUGAAGAAUAUGUGGAAUGGGAGAGACUGGGAACUGCCAUGUUUGGAAAAAAACAGCCUGUUACAAUGAGUACUGUGGAGAAAGAUCCUGCAUAUGGGCCGUUCCUGAACUACCUGUUCAUACCCAUUGCCCACUGUAAAACCUUCAUUUCUGGCUUUUUAUUGAUUUGUAUAUGUGAUUUGUAUAUUGAGAAUAUUAACCUGUUUUCUAUCAUAUCUGUCA